rnacentral:lncRNA from 1 species
UCCAAUCAAUAUUUAACAAUUAGGUGCUUGUGUAAGUUCCAGAUGGGCUUUUGGUUUCGUCUGUCUGGGUCAGUGUCACCAUGGGCGAAACCCACCGGAUUUUAGGAUGUAUGAACAUAAUACUUAGCCAAUCCGGAUUGAACAUAUCCAAGUUACAUACAUAAAAGAAAUUAAGAAAACAUGGGUACAUGACAUAUAUCAGGUGCCCUAAUCAUCCGCUUCAAUGGAGCAAUAAUAUGUUGUUUGAUACAUACGGAAUUUUUAAUCGAGUAUCAGUGAAUACUAGCUAAAGAGAUUUUAUACCACGUAAUGGUCAUACAAAAAUAACAAUUAUAGAAUUGAAUAUUAGUUCAUAUAAUCUGACAAAAUAAGAACCUGAAUUUGGUUGAAAAUUAAAACAUAGAGUAUGUAAUAAUAUAAUCCUUGACAAAAGAGAUUGAAGUUGUGAAAGGGGGAACUGGUGAUCUUUUACUUGCCUCAAACCAUGAUCCAACUUUUUAUUCGAAGCAAUCGAAAGAAAAGAAAUAUCGAUUCGAUCAAACUCGAACCAGUUGUUAUAGGAUUACUCCAUAUCGCUGAUCAUUUUCUAUGAUUCUUAUUAAUCAUCUCCAAACAUAUAAUCAGUUGAUAUAUCUUCACUUCUUCUUCGACCUUUGAUCCUGACAAUGUGUAUAGUCAAUAAAAAUCGUAAUGAUUCCAAGCACACACACAUGAUCAUGUAUACAUGCACAUGUACGAAUCAUUUGAUAACAUGCUCAUGUAUUGUAUACAUAUGUACGAAUAAUUUGAUUGUAUAUUUGCGGUUUAAAACAUAUGUGCGAGUAUGAUAAAGAUUAGAGAGACAUACGAUGGAUGAUGAAGUGAUGAUGAGUCGCCUGAGAAGGCAUAAGGAUCAUUGCUCUCUGACUCUGUAUCUCUACUUUAAGUCUCUGCCCAAACCUUAUGCAUAUAUAUGGUGUGAUACAACUCUUAAUAAUGAGCAUAUGUUUCACCAACUUCUUUUUCAAUUAUAAGAAAGUAGAUGGAAAGCUAAAGAUGACUACUUAUAAUUUGGUAAUUUUCAUAUUAUAUAAUAAUAGGAGUAUUUAUAUAAUAUAUUAUUGCUUUUAAG